GGCCGGGUUCUGCGCAACCGGCGAACGUGAACCGAGUCAGGGCCGGAAGGCAGCAGCUCUCAGCGAUCCCGCUGGUGUGCCGCAGGGGACCUGGCUGCU
rnacentral:SRP_RNA from 1 species